UAGGGAAUCUUCGGCAAUAGGGGGAACCCUGACCGAGCAACGCCGCGUGAGUGAAGAAGGUUUUCGGAUCGUAAAGCUCUGUUGUUAAGGAAGAACGAGUGUGAGAAUGGAAAGUUCAUGCUGUGACGGUACCUAACCAGAAAGCCACGGCUAACUACGUGCCAGCAGCCGCGGUAAUACGUAGGUGGCAAGCGUUGUCCGGAAUUAUUGGGCGUAAAGCGCGCGCAGGUGGUUUAGAAAGUCUGAUGUGAAAGCCCACGGCUCAACCGUGGAGGGUCAUUGGAAACUAAUAAACUUGAGUGCAGGAGAGAAAAGUGGAAUUCCUAGUGUAGCGGUGAAAUGCGUAGAGAUUAGGAGGAACACCGGUGGCGAAAGCGGCUUUUUGGCCUGCAACUGACACUGAGGCGCGAAAGCGUGGGGAGCAAACAGG
rnacentral:rRNA from 1 species